rnacentral:rRNA from 1 species
CCUACGGGAGGCAGCAGUAAGGAAUAUUGGUCAAUGGAGGCAACUCUGAACCAGCCACGCCGCGUGCAGGAUGACGGCCCUAUGGGUUGUAAACUGCUUUUAUACAAGAGAAAACCCUGGUACGUGUACCAGGUUGAUAGUAUUGUAAGAAUAAGCAUCGGCUAACUUCGUGCCAGCAGCCGCGGUAAGACGAAGGAUGCAAGCGUUAUCCGGAUUCAUUGGGUUUAAAGGGUGCGUAGGCGGACUGAUAAGUCAGUGGUGAAAUCUCUUUGCUUAACAAAGAAACUGCCAUUGAUACUGUCGGUCUAGAGUAUAGAUGACGUUGGCGGAAUAUGACAUGUAGUGGUGAAAUACUUAGAUAUGUCAUAGAACACCGAUUGCGAAGGCAGCUAACGAAACUAUAACUGACGCUGAGGCACGAAAGUGCGGGGAUCAAACAGGAUUAGAUACCCUGGUAGUCCGCACCGUAAACGAUGAUUGCUCGUUGUUGGCGAUAUGACAGUCAGCGACCAAGCGAAAGCGAUAAGUAAUCCGACGUUGGAGUACGCGGCGACGAGACGACGAAGAAGUUAGACGGCGNGAGAGNGCGACGGACGACGACGAGGGAGGAGG